GUGGAGUGAGCCUCUGUGUCAGAGCUGUCGGAUCAACAGAAGUCCUGGCCUGGGCGCUGCAGGGAGCCUGGCAAUCUGUUAGUUUCAAACAUCAUCUCUUCAUUCAUUCCUGUGAUGCAUGGUGGAGCCAAGAGGGAAAAGAUUUUGCCUGUAGGCUCAAGUCUGAACUUGUUUAUUCAUCUCUAUUAUCUGGUGAUACAGUUUAUUCUUUGCUGCAUUGAGAGGAACAAAACAAAAUACUUUAUAAGGUAAUGUUAUCAGUCGUCCUAAAUACCACCUUUGUUAAACCAGCUCGUCAAACCUAUUCCACAGAAGCUACCUUCUCAUAAAGCCCAACCUCUCCCCUCAUAGCAACAGCCUUUGUGGUCUCUUCUUGCUUGGCACUGGAGUUCUCACAGGGCCCUGCCACAAGCCACACUUGUGAAGACCAGGAAACCUCAGUCUGAAGCCCUCAUACUCUGUAUGAUUACGCUUAAAUUACGGCCCCCUACCCCAAGCCUACUUCCGUGAAAUCUGCAUUUUGGGCAUAGCCUUAUAUUUUCAUGUCCUUCAGACUGUAUUCACCUCUCCAUAGUUUCAGUGAUUUCCAUUUGCCAGGCCUUAUUUUAUUUUAAAAAUGAUGGAUUUCAGUGGCCCUACUGUAUAGAUGGAACACAAAGACACACGUAGCAGGCUUUCUUUGACCACCAACCAGCCCUCAAAUCAAGACAUGGAGACGUAUGAUCAAUCAUGAAAGUUGUCUCACUAGCUCUUAGAACUUACUUUAACUUCUUUCUCUUCAUCUACAUUUUGCCUCAGGACUUUUUUUUUUUUUUUUUUGCCUUUCUUUGAUUCUGUUAUGCCCUACUUCCCAGCUUCCUCCAUGGCUGGCUGGCUGGUGGUUGCCUGCCUGACUGGACCCAAGCAUCACCCUCUCUGUCUCCCUUAUUCUCUCGACCUUUUCAGCCUAAAUUCCUCCUCUUACUUAUUCUGCCUGCCAGCCCUGCCUCGAUAUUAGUGGUUCAGCUUUUUAUUAGACCACCUGGGUGCCUCAGGCAGGCAAAGCAAUACAUAUUUAUAUCGUUAAACAAAUGUAGCAUAAACAAACCUAUUCCAAAACUAACACAUUUUACAUAGCUAAACAAAUGUAGCAUAAACAAAGGCAACACACCUUUACAUAAAGUAUACAACAUAAACAAAUGUAACACAUCUUUACAUAGUUAAAUUAAUAUUCCACAACAGACACACAGAAACAUUUUUCAAGCUCUCCAGUAAGUAGAUAGCAGACCAGAAUUUGACAGAAGCCCUGCCCCAUAUCCACCCAGAGCAUAAGCUACUAGGCUCUGCUGCAUAAGUGAGGAUGUUCUCAGAGCCCCAUGGUUUAUUCUUUUCCAGAAGCUUUUUGUAUCUGUUUCCUGAAAAAAGUAACCCGAACUUCUUAGGUAAGCUCUGUAAUGAGGACAGGGCAACUGUCACAGCAAAUAGAAAGAAAUUAUGUUACCAGGUCUCACUGGGGGUUACAUGUGGGCAUCUACUGAUUAAUUCAUUCAUAGACACCUAAAUGAGGUCUUUCCACCUUUAUCUAUGCCAUAGCAAUUUAGACUAUCCAAAAUUACAAUUAUCUGGACUGGGGUGAGAGCUUCACAAAAAAAACUUCUUUGAAGGAAGAACUGAGGGAUUUAGCAUGCGAUGUGUCAUCCCUCCACGUCAGACCAGACCUUCCAUUCAGAUGCAACUGGUGGUAAAGUUAAAAUUUUCCCAAACAAUCCUUGCUAAACAAACUUGUGUGUAGUGGGCUGUGUGUGUGUGUGUGUGUGUGUGUGUGUGUGUGUGUGUGGUAUGUGCAUGAAUGUAUGCAUGCGUGUAGUAUGUGUGUAUGUGACUGUGAUAUGUGAGUAUUUCUGUGUAUGAUAUGUGACUAUAUGUAUAUUUGAGUAAGAUAUAUGUGUGUGGUGUGAAUGAAUGUGUGUGGGGGGGGUAUGUUUAUGUGUGAGUAUGCAUGCCUUCUGCAUACUUGUGACUCCUAUAGAACCCUGAAGCAGUAUCUCUUCAGAGACCGUAUAUGUGUUCCCAUGGCAAAGCUUCUUGCUUUGUAAUGAGGAUUUUAUUCAUGCCUUUAAUAUUUGUAUUAAAUUUAGUAUUUGAUUAAAAUCUUAGGGGCAGGACAUUAAAGAUAUGUAAAUUUGCAUAAAAUUUCAAGGUCCAGAAAUAUGCAUGAUUUCAUUUGAAGUGGGAACUAUGUUAUUCUUAGACCUCUUUUUGAAUAUUUCUUGAAUUUGAACAUAAACCUGAUAUUGGAAAUUAUCAGAGUAUGAGAGGAACACUGAAAUGGGAACUGUGUGAAGUGGACCUUUGCUGGUUUUCCACAUAACGUGCAUUUGAAGGAAGCAGGUGGCUAAGACUGUUUUCCUUCAUCAACUGAGAAAGGUACUCUUACUACAAAACAGAAGCUCUUGGCAAUGGAAACUUUGUAUAUGAGAUAUUUUAAGCCCCUAUCAUAUUACUCCAUGUCUUGUCCCCACCACCCAACAGACACCAUUAAUAGACAGAAGCUACUGAAAGCUUAAUCCCAUCCAAAUUCUUGUUAAAAAAUAAAAUUAAAAGGUAAAAUAGGGCCCAGCAAGAUGACUCAGCAGGAAAAAAACAAAAACACCAAACCCAAACAAGCAAACAAAUAAAAAUGCACGCACCACACACCUGACAAUCUGAGUGUGAUCCCAGGAACCCAAAGUGGAUGAAGAGAACUGACUUCCCAAAGUUGUCCCUGGAUCCUUCCCCCUCCCCCAAACAAAUAAUAAUAGUUAUAAAUAAGAUAAAAAUUUGAAAAAAUGUAAAGGUAAAUAAGAAUGCAACAACAAUUAAUACAAGAGAUGAAGAUAAAAUCUCAAGGUCCAGAAACUUGGAUUUGAACAUCAAGGUGUAUACAAUAUCAAGCCAGAAUAUAGUUCCUAAAAUGCCCAAAUCAGCUACCUCACCCAUCUGACCACACGGCAUGCCAUAUUCUUUGUGUACCACUAUGAGAACACUAUGAAAUAGGUAGGACUGUAGAAAGGCUGAGAGCCAUACACAAAGUAGAGGGAACAGUGGGCAGAUGUUUGCUUCAAGGAAGAACACCCCAUCUCUUAAAAUACACCACAGUAAAAUUGAUGUGGGUAACAACAGCUUGGAAAGAAGGACACUGAUUAGUUGUGUACAGAAAACUUUGCACAAGAAGGCAAGGAGAUAUAUAUAUCACUAAAGAAGCAUUUAAAUUUAAAUGGUGCCAUGAAAAGGAUUAAAAUCUCCACCACUGAAAAUUUAUUUCCUAGAAGAACUCACCCAUUCUGUGUAUAGAUAACUGGUGUUUUGUUUGGUAACAAUCCCAUUUCCUAUACAAUGAGAACAAAACUCUGGAAGAUUCUGUAAUUCUGACACCUUGGAAGCUGCUCAUCAUUGCUUACGGUUUUAUGCUCAUACCCCUAAAUUGGCUGGAAGCAAUCUUCAGUGUGUGUUUACCACAGGCCUGGCUGUGUUGCACAUUUUUAAAGGAAUUGUGACCCUAGAGUAGGUACCUGCUUUGCUCCCAGGUGACUAACAGAAACUGGGGCUUAAACAAGUUUGUUAAGAUGUUCUGAGGCCAGACAGGGAUAGUGUCAAUAUCCAAAGCCACUUCCUGCUGGCUUCAAGGACCAAGCAUGCAACUGCCAGAUGAAGCUGCAAAAGAAAAGAAGCCAGAUCAGAGAGCUAAGAUAACUUGCAAACAUACUGGUUCCCAUGAGAAAGACAUGCUGGCUGUAGUACUAAAUCCCAAAUAACUUUUUUCUCUGCUGCCAUUUUGAUACUUAAGAGAAAUUCCCACCUAUCUGAGUCUUAUUCCCAGAGUUUCGGAUCCUUCCAGCAAACGUUGUCAUUUUACAGAUGUGGAGACUCUUCUCAUUUGUCUUUAAAUUGUAGAAAAUAGAAAGGUAAAUGGCUAUAAUCUGGUUUGUGAUUUAUUUCACUUCAGAUCUGUUCCUCACAGGCUCCAACAUACUCUGGAGGACCGCAGGACUUGGCAGAAAGAAUCCUAACCAGUGUUUCCAAUGGGAGGAGAGGAGGAAGCUGUGAGAAAGCCUGCCUCACAGCAUUGUGUGGUGGUGAUGGAUGCUACUGCUCAGAUUCUAGCCCAAAGCCUUUUUAUUUAAGGAAUGAUGCUCUAAGCCCCCAAGAAAUGUGCAUCCAUGGUCAGCUUCUGCUAGCUCAGGACACUGGUCACUUUAGACAUGAAGCUGUUCUUUUAGACUCACUGUAUCCAGGAAGCAAUGAAGUACAGAGGCUACAAAGCCUUCCUACAUUCCAAUCCAAUGCUUGAACCCAGUUCUGAGCCAGAAGAUCUUACAGGAUUUUAAAACUUUCACUUUUAGCUAUUUCCAAAUUUCUUGUCUAUGGAAACUGGUGAAAAAGAAAAGGAAGUAUUGAAAUAUGGAUAUUGCAAGGCUCUGAUCAACUGUUUUUCAGCAGGGGAAAAUCUUGAGCAAAUAGUGGUCCUUCCAGAAAGUCCCUGCGAAACACUGUAGGGAGCCCCCAAGGACCUUGGCCCCAGACAUGGAUUUAGCACAUCCCAGAACCACUAACUUUCAGCUGUGAGUUCCAGAGGCAAUUGCUCCCUUUCCCUUGCUUUAAUUUUUUCAAUGUUGUAACAUAAUUAUAUCAUCUCCUCCUUUCUUCCCCCUCAUUAAACUCCCUACAUGUCCCUUCUCUUUUUUUCACUAAUUGUGAGUCUUAACUUGGUUUGAGAGGCAUAAGCAACAUGCUGGAGUUCAGGGAGGUGAAGGUAUUCUGGGGUCUCAAGUCCCUGGGCAAUGUAGUCUCCAAUAAUGAUUGAAAGAGAAAACUCUGAUCUGAGACAGUAUGUCAAGGCCACUCACGAUGAAUAAUUCACUAAGAAGCUGGCUUGGUUUCAAGUCACAAUUAGUUUUAAGCAGGUAAGAGGAAACAGGUAAAAGAUAGGAACACGUGCCACAGUUCCUACUACUCCGCCACUGCCUCACUUGAAAGGAUCUCAUCUUUGGUGCAUCUGUAGAAUUUCCAUGUCUUAGGUCAUGCUGGUAAUUAGACAAUACUCAGGCAGUUCUUCUCAGUCUGGGACCAUUUUAACAGUGGACCCAUAGUGACAAUCUCAGAGCCUUACCCCAUGAAAUGCUUCAAAAAACAUUCUAGUCUUGGAAGAAACAAUGAACUGUUGUCUCGGCAGAAGGCUAUCAGCACUAGUUGCCAUGUAUUUUAUUCUUUAUUCUUAUAAUCCAAUCUAUCCUGCUAGCUAACAAAUUUUGAACUGGUUGGACAUUUUAAGCCUAUUAAUAAAGGACAAGGGAGAUGAUGUACCAUCCCCCUUGCCCUAUAUACAGGGGCUAGUGUGGUCCUCUGUGUUAGGUUUCAAAAUGCUCUUCCCUAGAUAAUCCAACUAAUGAGGGAUCUUCUUCUGUAUGUAUUUUCUCUUUUUGGUUGAUGAAUAAAACACUGAUUGGCCAGUAGAGGCAGGAGGAUAGGCGGGGCUAUGAGACCAGGAGAAGGCUUGGUAGGAAGGCAGGGAGGGAGCCGUAGAGAGGCGCCAUGUAGAGAUGGGAAAAAUGACACACACACCAGGCAUUCUCUGGUAAGAUAAGGUCAUGUAGAAAUACAUAGAUUAGUAGUUAUGGGUUAAUAAUUAAGUCAGAGCUAGCCAAUAAGAAGCCCCAGCCAUGGGCCAACAGUUUAUAAUUAAUACAGCAUCUGUGUGUUUAUUUGGGGCAAAGUGGCUGUGGGACCAGGUGGGACAGAAACCUCCAUCUUCAUCCAACCAUUUUGUUCGUGCACUGUCUUUAUACAUUUGGGCCCCCUGGCUGCUGCCCUGGGCCCCCUGGCUGCUGCCCUGGCCCCUCUCUCUUCCCUCUCCUCCCCCUCUCCCCACAUUGCACACUUCAGUCUGGUUAUGUACACUCUGGACAUUCCCAGGGAUUCCUGCCACUAACUAUGUUAUCCCAUAUAGCUACAAUAAACCUACUUUCUAAUUGCUGCUCCAGCCUCUGGGCUCCAGCCUUUUAUGCCCUCCCCAUGGGUACCUCUGUGGCUCCUGCAGCCUGCGACACCUCUGGCAUCCACACCCACAUGAACAUCUCCCCUUUCUCCUGCUGUCUCCCCUCCUGAUAUACCAUUCUGGGUCUCUCUCAGGAGCUACAGAGCUACAGUCCCACCUGUGGCAGCCUGGAACUUUUUUCCCCCUUGUUUCCAUUUGGAACUCCGUAAGUGUCUCUCUGGUUUCCAUAUCCUGCUUCUAAGCUCUUUUUGGCCUUCCAUGAUGUGGGCACCUUUCUAUACCCUCUAAGGCCAUUUACUGGCUCCCUUUUUGCAGCACUCUCCUGAUCAGCUGUAGCCUGCAGUCAGGCAGCUCACUUCCCUCUUAGCUUCCUCUUGGAGCUUAUAGGAACACCCUUCCCAACAGGUGUCCUGCUUUAGGACUCUGUCUUCCUCCAAGGACUCAGAUUCUAUUACUGCAGCUUGUCCUUAGAACAGAACAAUGCCCCAAAACUGGCACACUUGAUUUCUAAAUUCUCAGAGAUUGUAACAAAUGAUCCCCAAAACUCAUAUCUCAACUUGCUCUGUUCUAUACUUUCAAAGCCUCUUAUCACUAAGGGUCUACAACUUCCCACCCUUAAAAAUCAUUUGUCUCUAUGAGAGCACCCUGCGCCCAAAAAAAAAAAAAAAAAAAAAAAAAAAAAACUAAGACUAUGCCGGAAACUCUUAUCUCAGGAUUUGUAAAUUGUUCAUUGUUGUGUUUAAAAAUCUAUAAAAUCCAUAACAAAAUUUGGUUUAAAACUUGUAACAGAAGGUUUAUAGUUAAACCUAAACAAAGGUAAUUGUAAUUUGCUAUAACAUACUAUAUAUAUGAUUCAACUCUGCCUCAGAAUAUACUAUAUAUGAUGAUAAAAUUUUAACGUUACAAAGAAUCUACUCAAUUUAACAAAAGCUGAUCUAAGAUAUUUGUGUAACUGCUUAUGCAUUUGCUAACUGUUCAACACCAGGCUAUUAGAAAGUAGUGAGUAUGUUUAAUGACUAAGGUAAUCUAGGUUUAUAAAUUCCUAAUGUCUACUCAAGUUCAUAGUAGUAAUGGUUGUCUAGCUUCUUUAUCUUUGUUCACUUUGUUAAGCUUUGGAUAUUUGAAUAAACUAAUUCAUAAAAAACUGGUGAUAUUCUAUUUAGAUGCCAAAGGUUUGUCAAUUAAAUCUUCAACUCACAGUUUAAGGCUCAAACUUAACAGGGAUAAAGCUAUAAAAUCCUAACCUUAUAUAAGCUACUUUCAAACUCUUCAGAGAUUUGCUAAAUAAGACAUUUAAAAUUUUUCAGCUUCCCGUAAUAGACAGAACUGCCCCCUCCUAGAGGGAACCAACCCUUGGGGUAUCCAAAGAAGAUAGAUGGGAUUGUGGUAAUGCUAACAACUGGGCAAAAGAUCCUCUCUGCCUUGCCUGCUACCAGGGCUCUGCUCAAACUGUGGACACUUCUGGGGUUGACUGCUCUACUGGGCUUGGUCAAAGUAAGGUCAGUCCCCAAGUUGCUCCUCUACAGAAAAAUCACAUACUUGGGUCUGGCAGCCUAUGUUGCUCUGCAUGUCAGCUAAAGAUUAAAUGCUGUCCAGUAUGACAGCUGAAGACCUGUGACUACUGCCACCAAUGGAGAUCACCAGAGCCUAAGAUUCCAGCAACUGCAGACAGCUCCAGCAACAAGGUGUUCCCUCAAAAUCUGCGUCCAGGACAGCAUCAAAGCAACUACCCCAGGUGGUCCAGCCUCACUAACUGCUCCAAAGCAUCCAGCACUUUUCUUGCCCCAGAUGGUCCCAGCAGAGUGUGGACAGCAACUGAAACAGUAUGCUCUUCCUGGACCAGCAUUCCAGAUUUCCUGCCCCCCACCAACAGCGAUGCCCAAUGUCAACAGGAAAUAGUCAUAGAGAAGAUUACCUGUCAUUCUGUAUCAUUUAUUUAAUAUCAACAAAAAGGCUGGGGUGUUAGGUUUCAAACCUGGGACAAAAGGCUGAGGUGCCUAUUUAACACAUCAAAGCAGACCUGGCUGCCACAUUCUCCCUGCAUCCUCCAGUCCCUCCCUGUUGCAGCACCCUCCUAGCUGGCAUAACACCCCCCCCCCCACACACACACACACACUGAACUUUCCAGCCCAGGGGGCUGGGCUGCCCUUCCCUACAUAAUCCAACCACUUUGCUUGCCUGAUCUCUUUGUACAUUUGGGCCUUCUGGCUGCUGCACCUGCCUCCUCCCUCCCCUCCCUUCCCCUCCCCCUCUCCUCACAAGGCACAGCUCAGUCUGGUCAUGUCCACUCUGGACUUUCCCAGAGGUCUCUGCCUCUGGCUACUCUCCCACAUGUAUCUACAAUAAAACCUUGUCCUGCAUCAUA